GAGCCGAGUGGUGAGCACAAAACGAACUAUUCUUUCGCCUUUUACUAAAGAAUACCGUGUGUUCUCCACUUGAAACGGCAUACGCCUAUUUUUGGAAGGGUAUUCCUCGUUGAAUGCCC